GCAGUCCUUUAUAGCAGCAUGAGAAUAGUCCAUUCUAAUGUGUAUUAGUCAAUACACAUAUCUUUAAAUUUUCUGUGGUGAAGAUUAAGUAUGGCAGACACAGAGUAUGUACCCAAUAAAUAAUAGGUAUAAUUGUGCUCAUCCCCACUCUCAUCAAUUACUUGGCAAAAAUUCUAUUCAAGGGCUAGGACUCUGCUACUCUACUCCAAUCCUCUUCAGUUCCACUAUGUUUAUUUCAGUUCCCUAACCAAAUGGGUAACAGCUGGUUUUGCAUGAAAGUGAGCAACCAUGGAGGCAGAAGAUUGUCUCCUCACAUACUUGGGAUGAAUUCUACCCUGAGGCACCACACCCUUGUUGGGCCAACCACACAGAAUUCUGUGCAUGCAUGACUGUCAAGUGUUUAUCUAUUGCCCCAGAAGCAAACUUCUCUAUACCUGGUGCAUGUUUCUCUCCUAUUCUUCCAUCUCCUGUUGACCUGCCUUCCAAUUCUUUCCAAUAUGCCUCAUGGAAUUUUCAUUCUCUUAUGAGUAACCCUCUGUUGAUCUCCUAGCUUUCAUUAAACUUUGUCUGUGCUGCAAGCACAUCGAAUAUCUUUUUGCUAUGUUAAAUCCAAAACCUAGUUAUCAGUCCUCAUCUUAGUUGAAUUAUCAGUACUUCCACUACUACCACCCGUAUACAAGCCACUAUCAUUUUUUUUUUUGCCUGAAAUGAUACAGUAGUGUAUAAACCAAGUAUCUCUGCUUGCAUCUUCAUCUGCCUGUCAUGUAUGCUCAACAUAGUAACCACAGUGAUCCUUAUAAAACCAAAGUCAGAUAAUGUCACUUCUUGACUACUUCAGGUCAGGGACCAUGUCAUUUUAUUCCCCCUCUGUAUCUCCAGGGCUUAUCACUGAAACUUAGCAGGCACUCACUAAAUAUUUUGCUGAGCAGUUAAAACCAAGAGAAGAAAGAGGAGGGAGGUAUAUGGCAAUCAUUUACCACAUCCUCUUUUAACCUCUUGAAUAUCUUACCAAUGUCUUCUUUUGUCCUUACCUUCACAUCAUUUUAUUUGACAAACAAAACUGUUUUCGAGAAAGGUAAGGCAGACGUGUGAACUGGACCCAUAGAAGUUAAGUGAUGACCCUGUUUGCAAUGUCAAAGAGAUUGAGGGCUUGGACUUGAACUCAACCUUCUCCCUCCAAAUAGCCUGCUCUUUCUGUUAUGUCAUGUUUCAUAUACAAGUUUGGGAGCCUCCAGCCCUGACUAUCCCAAGCUAUUAAUCAACCUCGCUGAAAUAUGCAGGCUCCACCUCAGUUGUGCUCUGAAUAAGUAAAGAAAAGGUGAGGUGACUGUAAAUGGACAUAGAGCUCAAGAGGGAACAGUUCUUCUCACUCUGAAUGGCCGCCGCUGUGAUCAUCAGCUAAGAUCGACAGGAAUUAGAAGAAAGUUGGAGAAAAGACUGGUGCCUCAAAGGUUCCAAUCAAAUGCCAUCAUCUACUGAGAUGACUGAGAUGACGCCUGCUACCCUAAAGAAGUCAGGAAUGAACUGCUUCAAGGCUAAGACAUAUUUGGCUCACAUCUCUUGAUAUCGGCUAACACUGGAAUCAGCAUGGCCCAGUGGAUAAAAACAAUAAACAACACAAACAGAACAAAAUAGAACAAAAUACAUAACUGAAAAUAAAGACAACUGAAUUCCAGUCCCAGCCCAGCCACUGUUGUGCUUUGUGGGUCUUGUUCUUGUACAUUUCAAAUCAAGGAGAUGGAACUCGUUUAUCUCAUUGUUGUGAAGAUGAAAAGUUGAGUAACUUGUGGAUCUGGGUUGGACUGUAUUAGGGAUUGGUAGAGUAAAACAAUUGAAAUGAAAUGAUCAAUAGGAGACACUUCCAUCAAUAGUUGUUAUUCUGUGACAUCUUCUCUACUUAAGCAGCUCACCCACGAGGCAUCCAAAACAGAGAGAAAAAACAGAGUGAACAUUUUGCCUUAUGGAAUUGUCAAAAGUUGCAGUCAAAACACAGGCAAGAUUUGGAAGAAUCUGUAAUGAGUCAGGGCAAGUUUUCCUAGCUAUAGAGGCUGGGGAAGGAGAGGGAAUUAGAGAUUGGCUGUUCCUGGAAACUCUCUGCCUGUACUCCAUGACCUGAGUCCCAGGACCUGGAAGCGGCUGGACAUCUGAGCUAUAGGAGAGACUGGUGCUGCCUUUCUGAGGAGGGCUUGGGAAAACAGCAAGUUUCCUGAAUUUUUCCAUGGCACAGGAGCAGAUGAAAUGUCAUGAAUGGUGUCCAGGCCAGUGGACUGAGUUAGCUCCUGAGAGUCCCUGUACUCUCCAGCACGGAACGAGGAGAAGCAGACCAUUCUCCUAUGCAGCCAUAGGAAAAUGGUACAAACAUGACACCGAAAUUCAGCUGACCGCAAGAGCUUGAUGGUCAGUGUGAGCCAGAUGGAGCAGGAACAUGUACGGAUGGAAAACCUAGAUCCAAAGUUCAUUCCCCUCUCCUGCUGAUGUUCCAGCACAUUGCAAGCUUUCCCAGAAACUUAGAGGCAACCUUGGCACAAGGACAUGAUUUGUUGGAAAUUAAGCUUUGUCACCUGGGGGACUGUGAGCUUGAUAUGGAAAUUAAUUCAGUUAUAUAAUUAUAAAAAUGAUGUGCUUCCUACACAUCUGAUUUUGUGAACCCAAAUUAGUUUCCACAACACAACUGUAUUAACAUUUGCCAACCUCUGGUGCAACAUUUGUUGUCUUUGUUGGAUUUUUCUAGAAGUUUUCAGCUCUAACCCAUCUUUCCCUGUUUUAUUUUCAUUUCUAAAUUCUGGUGAGUGGUGUUUUGGUAAGUAGCUAUCAGUUAUUUUUCUGUCUUACUUGAAAAGUCUUCUCUGUAUUAAAUAACAAAGGUCACUUAGAUAAAUAUCUUAUUAUUACCAGAAGGUAGGGAACUGCUUCUCCUAUACAUUACUUCUAUUAUCUUUCAAUCCAGAAAAAAAAAAAAAAACAUGGCAAGAGGACAAGUUUUUGAAUGUUAUGAAUCAUGAUUUCUGUGUCUAAAAUCUGCUCUUUUGUUAACACUAAGAGCAACUUCCUUCAAAGUGGUUCAUCUUGGUUUCUUACCGUGUGUGUGUGUGUGUGUGUGUGUGUGUGUGUGUGUGUGUGUGGUAAAACCAAAGUUUCCUAUUAUUUUUGAAGGUGUUUGACCCUGCUGGAAGACAGCUAUGUAUAAGGUGAAAUUGGCAGAGAGAAAGGGAAACCGGAUCUUAUUCCCAGGCCUCCUGUCACCAGCUGUGUGACUUUGCUGAAGUCAUUUCUUUCCCCUAAGUCUCGGUUCCCAUACCUAUAAAGUGAGUGUUCUGCCUGGGUGUCUUUUAGGUCUUUAUUAAUGUUGAAAUAUCCUGACUUUAUGGGUUCUCAUUCACUGUGAUGUGGUAACCAAAACAAGCAGAGAUUAAUAACCCAGGACUCAAUAAUGUAAAACACAAAAAUUGUAUUUUUGCAAAUUUUUGUAAAUGCGGGAUCAUGUGACAGUAUUGGUGUGAUCCAUAACUCUACAUUUAGUGGAUAAACAGAAUGUAACUUA